CUUUCAUCAACUGCCUGAGGUAAUUUUCUGAUAAAUCAAGAAUGCUCAGUUUGACCAAAUUGUGAAGAUUCUGAGCUGGGGAAAAAAAGUAAUCCAAAAUAAAAAGAUUUUCAGGUAUGUUCCAUUUAAGGCUCUGAAGAUGGGGAGAGAAUUCUGGAUGAUCCAGGUGGGCCCUUAAUAAUGGUCCCUUAUUACAGAGAGCCAGAGGGAGAUUUGAAACUGACAGGAGAAGUCAGUAAGACCAUGAAUGCAGAGAUUCGAGUAAUACGGCUACGAGCCAAAAGAUGCCAGCAGCCACCUGCAGCUGGAAGAGGCAUAAAUGGAUUCUCCCCUAAAGCUCCCAGGAGUGUGGCCCUGCUGACACCCUGAUUUCA
rnacentral:lncRNA from 1 species